rnacentral:rRNA from 1 species
AUUGAACGCUGGCGGCAGGCCUAACACAUGCAAGUCGAGCGAGCGGCGGACGGGUGAGUAAUGUAUGGGGACUGCCCGAUAGAGGGGGAUAACUACUGGAAACGGUAGCUAAUACCGCCUACUAUCGGCUAACCCCUAUGGGAUUAGCUCGUGGGUGCGGUAAUGGCUCACCUAGGCGACGAUCCCUAGCUGGUCUGAGAGGAUGAUCAGCCACACUGGGACUGAGACACGGCCCAGACGCCUACGGAGGCAGCAGUGGGGAAUAUGGCACAAGGGGCGCAAGCCUGAUGCAGCCAUGCCGCGUGUAUGAAGAAGGCCCUAGGGUUGUAAAGUACUUUCAGUCGGGAGGCGUUACCGACAGAAGAAGCACCGGCUAACUCCGUGCCAGCAGCCGCGGUAAUUC